AUACGUAGGUGACAAGCGUUAUCCGGAUUUACUGGACGUAAAGGGCGUGUAGGCGGUCUUGCAAGUCAGAAGUGAAAUUCCUGAGCUCAACUCGGGCGCUGCUUCUGAAACUGCAGGACUUGAGUGCUGGAGGGGAUAGCGGAAUUCCUAGUGGAGCGGUAAAAUGCGUAGAUAUCUGGAAGAACACCGAUGGCGAAGGCAGGCAUCUGGCCGGAGACUGACGCUGAGGCGCGAAGGCGCGGGGAGCGAACAGGUUUAGAUACCCUGGUAGUCCGCGCAGUAAACGAUGCGCACCAGGUGUCGGGCGGCAGCGCCCGGUACCGGAGCAAACGCGAUGAGUGCGCCGCCUGGGGAGUAUGCCCGCAAGGGUGAAACUCAAAUGAAUUGGCGGGG
rnacentral:rRNA from 1 species